UGGGGAAUUUUGGACAAUGGGCGAAAGCCUGAUCCAGCAAUGCCGCGUGUGUGAAGAAGGCCUUCGGGUUGUAAAGCACUUUUGUCCGGAAAGAAAUCCUUGGCUCUAAUACAGUCGGGGGAUGACGGUACCGGAAGAAUAAGCACCGGCUAACUACGUGCCAGCAGCCGCGGUAAUGCGUAGGGUGCAAGCGUUAAUCGGAAUUACUGGGCGUAAAGCGUGCGCAGGCGGUUUGCUAAGACCGAUGUGAAAUCCCCGGGCUCAACCUGGGAACUGCAUUGGUGACUGGCAGGCUAGAGUAUGGCAGAGGGGGGUAGAAUUCCACGUGUAGCAGUGAAAUGCGUAGAGAUGUGGAGGAAUACCGAUGGCGAAGGCAGCCCCCUGGGCCAAAUACUGACGCUCAUGCACGAAAAGCGUGGGGGAGCAAAACAGGAUUAGAUACCCUGGUAGUCCACGCCCUAAAACGAUGUCAACUAGUUGUUGGGGAUUCAUUUCCUUAGUAACGUAGCUAACGCGUGAAGUUGACCGCCUGGGGGAGUACGGUCGCAAGAUUAAAACUCAAAGGAAUUGACGGGGUCAUAGCUGUUUCCU
rnacentral:rRNA from 1 species